CAGAGACUGCAAGCGUUAUUCGGAUUCACUGGGCGUAAAGGGUGCGCAGGCGGUCGUGUGUGUCAGAUGUGAAAUCCCGGAGCUUAACUCCGGAACUGCGUCUGAAACUACACGACUAGAGCAUUGGAGAGGGAAGUGGAAUUCAUGGUGUAGCAGUGAAAUGCGUAGAUAUCAUGAGGAACACCAGAGGCGAAGGCGACUUCCUGGACAAUUGCUGACGCUCAGGCACGAAAGCAUGGGGAGCAAAAGGGAUUAGAUACCCCUGUAGUCCAUGCCCUAAACGGUGCACACUAGGUCUUGGAGGAUUCGACCCCUUCAGGGCCCAAGCUAACGCGUUAAGUGUGCCGCCUGAGGACUACGGUCGCAAGACUA
rnacentral:rRNA from 1 species